GCAUAUUAACAACAAGGACAUUCUCUUCAACAAGGCAACCGGGGAAUUCGACUUCUGAAUUUUUAAUGGAGGCAUCUUCAUUGGGAGGGUUAUUGGUAGCAGCAGUAUUUUGAAAGAAUUCCAGGAAGUUGGUUCAUUGGGUGUUUAAGUUGUCUUCAGUUAAUAUUUGUUUUGUGAACGCACGAGAGGAAGAGGACAUGUUGAUGAUUCCUUAUGUUCAUUUUGAUGAAUGUUAUUAGCGUUUUGUAUAUAACGAAUGAGAGCUCUUUUAGCCUUCAAUGCAUGGCAACUUGAG
rnacentral:misc_RNA from 1 species